rnacentral:lncRNA from 10 species
CCAAAGUGCUGGGAUUACAGGUGUGAGCCACUGUGCCCGGCCAAGUCUAAGUUCUUUCUUUUUUGUUUGUUUUUUUUUGAGACAGUCUGGCUCUGUCGCCCAGGCUGGAGUGCAGUGGCACGAUCUCGGCUCACUGCAACCUCCGCCACCUGGGUUCAAGCGAUUCUCCUGCAUCAUCUUCCCAAGUAGCUGGGACUACAGGCGCCUGCCACUACGCCCAGCUAAAUUUUUGUCAUUUUUAGUAGACACCGUGUUGGCCAGGCUGGUCUCAAACUCCUGACCUCAAGUGAUCCCCCCGCCUUGGCCUCGCAAAGUGCAGGGAUUACAGGCAUGAGCCACCGUGCCCCGCCAAGUCUUAAGUUUUUAACUACCACUUCUCCGGUCCAGAUAUCCCAAAAUCUGACACACAGACCACAGGAUGGGCAGGGGCGGAGGGCAAGAUCAUUUUCCGUGGCAUUUAGAAGAUCAUAAUUACGUAUAUGGCCUUGGUUUUGGUGGAGGAGUGAGGAGGGCCGUUGCAGGACUGGAGGAGGCUGGGGGAAGAGGAAGCCAGGGGGCGGGGAGGGGCCUCACCAGAUGCCACGGGCGUCGGGCCAGUCGCGGGCCAUGCCUGAGGCCAGCAGCAGCGGGGACACGGGCUUGUCGAACAGGAAGUGGUCAUCGAUGAGCUGCUGCUGCUCCUUCUCCGUCAUGCUCUUCAGAGGGUAGUACUUCCCUUUGAACUCGCCCGUCAGGCUGUUGAGAGCUAUGGGGACACACGAGGGAGUGGUCAGCAGCCUGUCCCACCUCAACCAGGGUGUGGAGGCCCAGGGUUUCCCCUGCUGCUGCUCCUAACGGGCCUGGGCCUUGGCCCCCUGGAUGUCCUAAAGGCACCUGAACCCUGUGUCUAAACCCACACUUGUGACGGCUCCCCAAAAUCUGUUCCUGCCAUCUGUCCAGGCCCCCAGGAAUGGCCACCCCAUGUGCUCAAUCUGGAAAACAGACCCACCUCUUCCCCUGAGGGACCCUCACAUCCAAUCCACCUGCAGGCCACAGUGUGCUGGUGCCUGCUCCUAAUGGCUGGCAACACAGAUGGCUGAAGUCUCAGGACUUUGAGAGGCCAUUAGUAAAAAUUAUUAUAAAGUAGAAUGGUAGCCAGGUGCACUGGCACGAGCCUGUAGUCCAGAUACUGGGGAGGCUGAGGCAGGAGGAUCACUUAAGCCCAGGAGUUCGAGUCCAGUCUGGGUAACAUAGCAAGACCCCCAUCUUUUUUUUUUUUUUUUAUGAGACGGAGUUUUGCUCUUGUUGCCCAGGCUGGAGCGCAAUGGCGCGAUCUUGGCUCACUGCCACCUCCGUCUCCCGGGUUCAAGCGAAUCUCUUGCCUCAGCCUCUCAAGUACCUGGGAUUACAGGCAUGCGCCACCAUGCCCGGCUAAUUUUGUAUUUUUAGUAGAGACGGGGUUUCUCCACUUGGGCGCCUGGCCCAAGACCCCAAUCUUUAAAAAAAAAAAAAUUGUAGGCUGGGCGCAGUGGCUCAUGCCUAUAAUCCCAGCACUUUGGGAGGCCAAGGCAGGCAGAUCACUUGAGGUCAGGAUUUUGAGACCAGCCUGGCCAACAUGGUGAAACCCCGUCUCCACUAAAAAUACAAAAAUUAGUCGGCCAUGGUGGCACACGCCUGUAAUCCCAGCUACUCAAGAGGCUGAGGCAC